GCAUAUCAAUAAGCGGAGGAAAAGAAACUAACAAGGAUUCCCCUAGUAACGGCGAGUGAAGCGGGAAGAGCUCAAAUUUGUAAUCUGGCACCUUCGGUGUCCGAGUUGUAAUCUCGAGAAGUGUUUUCCGCGUCGGACUGCAUACAAGUCUAUUGGAAUAUAGCGUCAUAGUGGUGAGAGCCCCGUAACUGAUGCAGAUGCCCGAUGCUUUGUGAUACACUUUCGAAGAGUCGAGUUGUUUGGGAAUGCAGCUCAAAUUGGGUGGUAAAUUCCAUCUAAAGCUAAAUAUUGGCGAGAGACCGAUAGCGAACAAGUACCGUGAGGGAAAGAUGAAAAGCACUUUGGAAAGAGAGUUAACAGUACGUGAAAUUGUUGGAAGGGAAACGCUUGAAGUCAGACUUGCUAUUUGGAAUUCAGCCGCAAGGUGUACUUUUCAAUUUGCAGGCCAGCAUCAGUUUUUGGGGGUGGAAAAGGGUUGAGAAAAGGUAGCAGUUUCGGCUGUGUUAUAGUUCUUGGCUGGAUUCAUCUUUGGGGACUGAGGAACGCAGUGUGCCGCAAGGCAAUUCUCUCGAGGAUUUCACACUUAGGAUGCUGGUGGAAUGGCUUUAAACGACCCGUCUUGAAACACGGACC
rnacentral:rRNA from 1 species